ensembl:snoRNA U3 Small nucleolar RNA U3
UAGACAGUACUUUCAGGGAUCACUUCUAUAGUUUAUUACUAGGUAAGUUUCUCUAAAUGUAGAGCACAGAAAGUAAAAU